rnacentral:rRNA from 1 species
GACGAACGCUGGCGGCGUGCUUAACACAUGCAAGUCGAACGGUAAGGCUCCAGCUUGCUGGGGUACACGAGUGGCGAACGGGUGAGUAACACGUGGGUGACCUGCCCUGCACUUCGGGAUAAGCCUGGGAAACUGGGGCUAAUACCGGAUAGGACCAUGGUGUGGAUACUGUGGUGGAAAGUUUUUUCGGUGUGGGAUGGGCCCGCGGCCUAUCAGCUUGUUGGUGGGGUAAUGGCCUACCAAGGCGGCGACGGGUAGCCGGCCUGAGAGGGUGGACGGCCACAUUGGGACUGAGACACGGCCCAGACUCCUACGGGAGGCAGCAGUGGGGAAUAUUGCACAAUGGGCGGAAGCCUGAUGCAGCGACGCCGCGUGGGGGAUGACGGCCUUCGGGUUGUAAACUCCUUUCACCAUCGACGAAGGGUUUCUGACGGUAGAUGGAGAAGAAGCACCGGCUAACUACGUG